rnacentral:rRNA from 1 species
AAGCGCUUGCGACUAGACUCGCCCACGGGGUUCAGCCGGCUUUCGGGCCGGUGUACUUCCCCGGGGGCGGGCCAGCGUCGGUUUGGGCGGCCGGUCAAAGGCCCCCGGAAUGUAACGCCCCCUCGGGGGCGUCUUAUAGCCGGGGGUGUCAUGCGGCCAGCCCGGACCGAGGAACGCGCUUUGGCACGGACGCUGGCAUAAUGGUCGCAAACGA